UGAAAUAGGCCGGGUAAGGAUUUGGAACGUUUGCCUGUGUUUGCUCCUAGGGGCGCUGUUCCAACUGCAUACAAAUUUGAGUUA
rnacentral:pre_miRNA from 1 species